CCCGAAUCGCAAUUUAAAGUUCCUCUUGUUGUGCAUUUAAAACUUGGCCCGAGAAAGUCCUUCGUAUUUCACGUUUGAGACGUUGUCGGGAAGUUGGUGUUCAGGUGUCAGUUGUCCACGUGAUGACGACAGACUAGUGCAGUCGUGGGAGGCACAGCUGAUUUUCGUCCAGCAGCAGCAACGGCCAGCUGACAGAUUAACGG